AUGUCUGUUUUUAGUCUACCCGUGGGGAUAUGCAAGGAAAUCACAGAUCUAAUUGCUCAAUUUUGGUGGGGAGAUGAUGAGGAAAAUAGAAAAAUACACUGGUUUUCUUGGUGGAAGUUAUGUUACCCGAAGAGUGAAGGAGGCAUGGGGUUUAGAGAUCUACAAUCUUUCAAUCUGGCAAUGCUCGCAAAGCAAUGUUGGAGACUCAUUAUGUAUCCAGAUUCCUUGUGUGCUAAAGUCCUGAAGGCCAAAUAUUUUCCGAAUGGAAGCCUCUUGCAAGCAACACCAAAGAAUGGCUCAUCUUUCACAUGGCAGAGUAUCCUAAAGGGACUUGAAACUUUCAAAUUGGGAUAUAUUUGGAGAAUUGAAACAGGAGAAGCUGUGAAUAUUUGGAAUGACCCAUGGAUACCCUCAAGUCCAGAUAGAAAAAUCAUUUCCGCUAGGGGGCACACAGUCGUCUCAAGGGUGUGUGAAUUGAUUGAUCCGUUCACUGGAUCGUGGGAUGAACAAUUGUUACGAUCAAUUCUCAUACCGGUUGAUGUCAACAGGAUCAUGCUAAUCCUAGUUAAUUUGCAAGGCUUUGAUGACUUCAUUGCUUGGCAACCGGAUCGACGCGGAGUUUUUACUGUAUGCUCCACAUACCAUACCCAGUGGAUACGAAAAUACAAGGCACAUGCAAUUACUAUACAUCACCCAGGAGGGUCGUGUGUGCCGGCGAUCUGGAGUACUAUAUGGAAGCUAAAAAUCCCACGUAAGGUUCAAAUUUUUUGUUGGCGAAUUCUUUGUGGAAUUGUACCAUUAAAGUCCAUCCUCACCAAUCGGCAUAUUGGGUCUAAUGGGGCUUGUCCCAUAUGUCAUCAAGCAGCCGAGGACAUUCGUCACCUACUGUGUGAAUGCGAACAUGCAAAGGAGUUGUGGAAUAGACUGGGAAUCCUUGAACUAGUGCUUGAUGCCACCACGGUUGAUCGUUCAUGGUCAGCAAUUUUGGAGCAUAUACUUUUGCUUCCAGAGACAUCUCUACAGGUUAAGCCAGAUCUGGACGUGAAGCAAGCUAUUGCUGUAGGUAUCUGGUAUCUUUGGUGGAUUAGGAGGCGAAUCACACAUAAUGAACCCUCCCUGCAUCCUCGAGGUGGCCAGCUUCUGUUCUAG
rnacentral:rRNA from 1 species